UACGGAGGGAGCUAGCGUUGUUCGGAAUUACUGGGCGUAAAGCGCACGUAGGCGGCUGUUCAAGUCAGUGGUGAAAGCCCGGAGCUCAACUUCGGAACUGCCUUUGAAACUAGACAGCUAGAAUCCUGGAGAGGUGAGUGGAAUUCCGAGUGUAGAGGUGAAAUUCGUAGAUAUUCGGAAGAACACCAGUGGCGAAGGCGGCUCACUGGACAGGUAUUGACGCUGAGGUGCGAAAGCGUGGGGAGCAAACAGGAUUAGAAACCCCAGUAGUCC
rnacentral:rRNA from 1 species